UGUCCAGGUGUGACAGGGACAGGUGUGACAGGGACAGGUGUGUCCAGGUGUUUCAGGGCUGUCCAGGUGUCAGGGCCAGGGAUGUCCAGGUGUGACAAGGUGUGACAGGGCCAGGUGUGACAGGGCUAGGUGUGUUGGGGCCAGGUGUGACAGGUGUGUCCAGGUGUUUCGGGGCUGUCCAGGUGUAAGGGCCACGUGUGUCCAGGUGUGACAGGGCCAGGUGUGUUGGGGCCAGGUGUGUCAGGGCCAGGUGUGUUGGGGCCAGGUGUGACAGGUGUGUCCAGGUGUCAGGGCCAGGUGUAUCCAGGUGUGUCAGGGCCAGGUGUAUCCAGGUGUUUCGGGGCUGUCCAGGUGUCAGGGCCAGGUGUGAGCAGGAGCUGGGAGUUACUGGGUGAACUGGGGGUUACUGGGUAAACUGGGGGUUACUGGGAGC